CUCACACCAAUCAGUACAUUGGGAAGAGGAGAGACUUGUACUGAGUAGAAGAGCUGAGAGGAGAGAGAUAGACUGAGAGAGAGAGAGAGAGAGAGAGGUGCCGUCGCAUGUGCAGGACCAAAAAGUGAAGAGGCAAAUUAGCUUGUUAUCCCCCAAAGAAGCUUCACCUUCAGAGAGAAGCGUGAGGAGGCUGAGAAACAGGAGGAAGACGUUGCUUCUCUGGUGAUUUAAAGGUGACAUGACGAGCCUCACGUCCCUCAAACCCCAGCUAGUUUCUGACAGCGUUUCACAGCUGUGACGGGAGUUUCUGCUGGCGGGUGCCUGACUGUGUUCGGUGGAUUGCAAACAGGACUUGCUCCAGAAGAGGGGAUAAAGGGCAGGAGCGGGAACAGUCUCCUCAUCCCUCCGCUGACCCGCAGAUCCGAACAGGAACUUUUGCUGGGAAGCUCUUUUCUGAGAGCACGUUUGGAUUUAUGACUAUGUGCUGAGGAUAUUGGAUGAACAAUUGACGGCACGUUUCUCCACACCGUAUCUCACAGCCGGUGCUCCUGCCAUGUCCUGGCUCCUGUGUCUGUGGAUAAGUGUUAGCUGCUUACUCCUGUGCCACGCCACUUUGUACGAGACCAUCCAGCAGCAUCAUGUGACCCACCCGGGCCGCAACGCCAUACAGAUUCUGGAGGGGGGAACGUGUGAGGUCAUCGCAGCACACCGAUGUUGCAACAAAAACCGAAUUGAGGAGCGUUCCCAGACAGUCAAGUGCUCAUGUUUACCGGGAAAAGUGGCCGGCACAACACGGAACAAACCCUCAUGUGUAGACGCCUCUAUCGUGAUUGGGAAGUGGUGGUGUGAGAUGGAGCCGUGUCUGGAGGGAGAGGAGUGUAAGACACUACCAGACAACUCCGGCUGGAUGUGUUCCUCUGGAAACAAGAUCAAGACCACGAGGAACACCCAGCCAUAUUCAACGUUUUAGCUCUGAGGGCCACCGAAGCUGGCUCGCCUGAAGCUCAGUGGUGUCCUUCUCCUCAUCAAGAUUCAUCCCCGGACCUAACACAGAGCUCCUUCACAGGCAGUGAAUGUGGAUUAUUUCUGUCAGAAUGGACGAAACCAUUCGUUCGAAGGGGUAUUUGACUGGAUUACCUGUGACUGACAUUCUUGGGGAUAUAGAUGAGAUUUGCUCAUUCAGUGCCAAGGAAUAUGACAAAUAGAAAUAAAGCAGGCUAAUCUGUGUUUUUGAUCAAUGAGCCCAACACUGCAGACUCGACCGUGUCCAAAUUCUCUUGAUUUUCUGCAUUUCUCCUGACCACCGUCCUCUGGUUCUAAACUCCUACAGCUUAUCGGAGCCUAUUUGAAGACGUUACCUCCCUUGGUAAACUGGACAAUCCUGAUAUAAGCUGUGAAUGACUGUAUGAAGGAUCAAGGCGGAUAAGCACUGGUCUGUGAAAAUUAGGUGGAAAUCAAUAGAUUUUUUUUUUCCAUCCCCCAUCAGUUUGUCGCUCCACGUCCACGCUGGCAUUGGUAACAGACUAGGAGCUCGUGAAGUCCUGCUAUUUCCCUUCACUUCUGAGUUUUCUGCUCACCGCUAGUGUCCCACAUGCUGUCCGUUUGGAAUUCCCCCAGGUCAAAGGUCACCUCAAUGUCUACCUGGGCCACAUAUCUUUUCAUUUGUCAGCAUGCUCAAUGUAUUUUGUGGGAGCUUUGUAUUGAAAGUAACUGUAUAUAUUUCUGUAUAUAUAUACAUAUAGAUACAUAUUAAAAGACAUCUAAUGAAGAUCUAUCGUGCCCUAAAACCUGUUCAGUGGGUUUCAACUAAGACUGUAUUCAUAGUUUUGGUUCCUUGAACAUGACGUACAAUUAAUCCCUAAUUUAAGGCUGUCUGUGAAAAUGCAUAUUCUCAUGAUGUAAUGGAAACCCGGCAUAUUUAGCUUGAAUGAGAAUUCGUUCCAUUGUUCCAAAGUGAAUCCAUUCUGAAAAAAAGAGGAAAAUGCACUAAACAGUUGCAACAUUUUUGUCCACAAUAUUUCAACGCAAACCUAUUUUUUUAGUGUUUAAAUAUUCCUGAGCUUUAAGUAUUUAAGUCAUUGCCAUUCAUUUCAAACAAGUUUCCAUGCAAAUUAGGCUUUAGAUUGCAUUUUAUUCACAAAACUGUACUACUACUCUAGUGAUAUUACCACUGGUGAAAAUCAGAUGGCAAAUGACAUUUUCUUCUGAUCACAGCAAAAGUAAUUCAACAUGUAAUGAGCAAAUAUUGGCGUAGAGCAGAUGUGUGGAGUAGUCAACUACACUUGGUGCCGUACUGUCCCAUUAAAAUAUGUCAUAAAAUAUGUGCCAUGCACAGAAUUUGCUGGUGCUUUUGUUUUGUUAUCUGAUACGCAUAAUUCUGAAUCAGACACUUCAAUACAGCAAACAAUGUAAUUAUUUGCCUCUGUAGGUGGACCCAACUCAUUCUUAGUAAUUUUGCAGGGAUAUCAGUCUGUCAGCCCAACAAAAAAAGGUAACAAACACCUACUGGAACUCAGAUUACCAUUGAUAUUUACCUAUAGCCAGUUCAGACCAUGAUUAAGUUUGUUCUGUGCUGUUCUGAGAAUAGAUAGGCUUCAUCAUGCUUGUGUAAGUUUCAUGAAUACAAGUCAUUCAAUUUGUUAAAGGUGAUAUGAUAAACAAAUACUGGAUCUGUGUCACUGGACAGAAACCUGACUCAGUUCAGAAAAAUGAAGCCCUAGUUUGAUAGGGUCAGUGUUGUAGGGAAGAUAGGAUCUCAUUUUCAAGAGAUUUGUUUUCUGUGUAAUAAAGUUUCGAAGGGUUGACAAAAAGGCGGGCUUCAUUUCUCUUUACUGGCAUCAGUAGACAUGCAACUACAGUAGCUCUGGUAUAUAAA